CCUACGGGAGUCAGCAGUAGGGAAUCUUCCACAAUGGGCGAAAGCCUGAUGGAGCAACGCCGCGUGGGUGAAGAAGGUCUUCGGAUCGUAAAACCCUGUUGUUAGAGAAGAAAGUGCGUGAGAGUAACUGUUCACGUUUCGACGGUAUCUAACCAGAAAGCCACGGCUAACUACGUGCCAGCAGCCGCGGUAAUACGUAGGUGGCAAGCGUUAUCCGGAUUUAUUGGGCGUAAGGGGAACGCAGGCGGUCUUUUAAGUCUGAUGUGAAAGCCUUCGGCUUAACCGGAGUAGGGCAUUGGAAACUGGGAGACUGGAGUGCAGAAGAGGAGAGUGGAACUCCAUGUGUAGCGGUGAAAUGCGUAGAUAGAUGGAAGAACACCAGUGGCGAAAGCGGCUCUCUGGUCUGUAACUGACGCUGAGGUUCGAAAGCGUGGGUAGCAAACAGGAUUAGAUACCCUGGUAGUC
rnacentral:rRNA from 1 species